CCUACGGGAGGCAGCAGUGGGGAAUAUUGGACAAUGGGGGGAACCCUGAUCCAGCCAUGCCGCGUGUGUGAAGAAGGCCCUCGGGUUGUAAAGCACUUUCAGUGAGGAAGAACGCCUGGUGGUUAAUACCCAUCAGGAAAGACAUCACUCACAGAAGAAGCACCGGCUAACUCCGUGCCAGCAGCCGCGGUAAUACGGAGGGUGCGAGCGUUAAUCGGAAUUACUGGGCGUAAAGCGCGCGUAGGUGGCUUGAUAAGCCGGUUGUGAAAGCCCCGGGCGCAACCUGGGAACGGCAUCCGGAACUGUCAAGCUAGAGUGCAGGAGAGGAAGGUAGAAUUCCAGGUGUAGCGGUGAAAUGCGUAGAGAUCGGGAGGAAUACCAGUGGCGAAGGCGGCCUUCUGGACUGACACUGACACUGAGGUGCGAAAGCGUGGGUAGCAAACAGGAUUAGAUACCCUAGUAGUC
rnacentral:rRNA from 1 species